UAGUGAUGUCAUGACUGAGGUGUCUC
rnacentral:sRNA from 1 species